UACGUAGGGGGCAAGCGUUGUCCGGAUUUAUUGGGCGUAAAGAGCGUGUAGGCGGCCUGACAGGUCUGCUGUGAAAACUCGAGGCUCAACCUCGAGAUGUCGGCGGAAACCGUCUGGCUAGAGUCCGGAAGAGGAGAGUGGAAUUCCUGGUGUAGCGGUGAAAUGCGCAGAUAUCAGGAAGAACACCUAUGGUGAAGGCAGCUCUCUGGGACGGUACUGACGCUGAGACGCGAAAGCGUGGGGAGCGAACAGG
rnacentral:rRNA from 1 species